rnacentral:tRNA from 1 species
GUUAGUAUAGUAUAAAAAAUUACACCUAACUUCCAAUUAGAAAAUCUAAGCAAUUUAGUACUAAUA